AACGGAGUCAAGAGGAGCUUGCUUUUCUUGACUUAGUGGCGAACGGGUGAGUAACGCGUGAGUAACCUGCCCUGGAGUGGGGGACAACAGUUGGAAACGACUGCUAAUACCGCAUAAGACCACAUUACCGCAUGGUAGAGGGGUCAAAGAGAUAUCGCUUAUGGAUGAGCUCGCGUCCUAUUAGGUAGUUGGUGAGGUAACGGCCCACCAAGCCGACGAUCGGUAGCCGACCUGAGAGGGUGAUCGGCCACAUUGGGACUGAGACACGGCCCAAACUCC
rnacentral:rRNA from 1 species